rnacentral:lncRNA from 1 species
GGACUGUCAUGUGGACACAUGUUGCUUAUUGCUUCCAAAGGCAAGAUCAAGUGAUUGGAAAAGGCUAGAUUUGAUUCCACACAAAGAGCUUUCUAACUGUCUAGACCGGCACCGUCCGGUAGAAGUAGAAAGCGAGUCACGCACGUGACUUUUAAUUUCCCAGUAGCCGCAAUAAGAAAAGUGAAAAAGGAAAGCGGAUGACAUUGAUUGUAACAACAUAGCUCAGUUCAGCCCGGUCCAAAGUAGUAUCAGUUCAACAUUUCACCCAUGUCAAAAAGGCCGAGGAGCUGUUUUGCAUUCUCCCGUGCUAAGUCUCGAAGUCCCACGUGGGUUUCACCCUUCCAGCCCGGCUCAGUUUGCAGUAGCCUUCCAAGCGCUCCCUGACCACGUGAGCCUCGUGCAUACUGACGGCAGGGGUCGGGGUUGUGUCAGAGACAGGGCGCGUCCUCCCGGUCCGAUACGGAAGCCAGGUUGAAUAAGCCCCAUCAAGGCCACGUGGCGAAAUGUCCAUGCACUGAUUACGUUGGGGACCAUGUCCUGGCCUCCCCUCCCCCUUGCCUCGCCUCCGUGUAACAGCGACCGUCUUCUCUGCUCCCAUCCCCCAGGUUACGGCGGUGAGGGCUGCUAUGCCUUCUGGGAGAGAUGAGCAGUUUUCCUGGAGUCUCCCAGCUUUCUGUGUGUCCGGGGAGCUUGAAAACAACCCUCAUUGCCACCCUGCCUUGAGAAGCAGGGAACAAAGGGAGCUCAGAGCUGAAUGCCAGCCCCACAGCAUGACUUCAGCUUGGCCACAGCCACACGGCGGUGUGAUGGGCCCAGCAGGCCGGAGCUGUCAUCUUCAUUAUCACACUGAACUGACACAGAGGAAGGAGAUGACUGAGACCACGUGUAGUGAUGCUGGCUUAGACAGGAAAUUUCCGAGAGACAACUGAGACAUCUUGAACUCCUUAGUGUCAAAUGUUCAGACAAAGCAGCGUAUGUACAUAUCUCAGAGAUCUCUUAUCUCCUUGACCCCAUCAUGUUUCUCCCCAUCAUUCUUUUUUCUAGAGAAGUAAUCAGUGGGAGCCUGGGUGGCUCAGUUGGUUGAGUGUCAGAUUUGGGCUCCGGUUCUGAUCUCACGGUUUGUGAAUUUGAGCCCCGAGUCGGGCUCUGCGGUCUCGGUGUGGAACCUGCUUCAGAUCCUCUGUCUCUCUGUCUCUGCCCGUCCCUUGUCCCUUCUCUUUCUCUCAAAAAUAAAUAAACAUUAAAAAAAAAAGUAAUCUGGGGC